CCUUUAAAAAGUGAGUGGAGUUCAGUUGCAGACUACUCAACCCCACUCAACUGUAGGCAAGUUGUCACGAGGGCAGUGCUGUAUGUGGUUUCUGUCCACGGGCUGGGAGUUGCAGAAUCUGCGAGGAUGUGGGCAACCUUUUGAGGCUUCAAGGGUGCCUAAACCCGAAACCGCGUGUGCGGGCUAUUGUGAACAUACUUCAGUGUCUCUGCGACUGCCAUGAACAUAGUUUGGCAGAGGAAAAAUGGUGUCAACGGGUGAGAGGAGAU
rnacentral:lncRNA from 1 species